ACAUUGAAAUACCAGUUCCCAUAUGAUCACUGAAGUUAGGCAACAUUGAACCUGGUCAGUACCUAGAUGGGUGACCUCUUAGGAAUACGAGGUGCU